rnacentral:rRNA from 1 species
UACAGAGGGGGCAAGCGUUGUUCGGAAUUACUGGGCGUAAAGGGCGCGUAGGCGGCCUUCUAAGUCGAACGUGAAAUCCCCGGGCUCAACCCGGGAACUGCGUCCGAUACUGGAAGGCUUGAAUCCGGGAGAGGGAUGCGGAAUUCCAGGUGUAGCUGUGAAAUGCGUAGAUAUCUGGAGGAACACCGGUGGCGAAGGCGGCAUCCUGGACCAACACUGACACUGAGGAGCGAAAGCCAGGGGAGCAAACGGG